rnacentral:lncRNA from 1 species
AGUCAUUGGCAGCAGAGAACUGGAAGGAGAGGCAGCCAAAGGAGGAGUUGGCUUUGGGGGUGACCAGUGAGAUAUACGUGCUGGAGCGCGUGCUACGGGUGGGUGCUGCUAUGGUGACCAGCGAGCUGAGAUAAGGUGGGACUUUACCUAGCAGGGUCUUGUAGAUGACCUGGAGCCAGUGGGUUUGGCGACGAGUAUGAAGCGAGGGCCAGCCAACGAGAGGGUACAGGUCGCAGUGGUGGGUAGUAUAUGGGGCUUUGGUGACAAAACUGAUGGCACUGUGAUAGACUGCAUCCAAUUUAUUGAGUAGGGUAUUGGAGGCUAUUUUGUAAAUGACAUCGCUGAAGUCGAGGAUCGGUAGGAUGGUCAGUUUUACGAGGGUAUGUUUGGCAGCAUGAGUGAAGGAUGCUUUGUUGCGAAAUAGGAAGCCAAUUCUAGAUUUAACUUUGGAUUGGAGAUGUUUGAUGUGAGUCUGGAAGGAGAGUUUACAGUCUAACCAGACACCUAGGUAUUGUAGUUGUCCACAUAUUCUAAGUCAGAACCGUCCAGAGUAGUGAUAUUGGACGGGCGGGCAGGUGCGGGCAGCGAUCGGUUGAAGAGCAUGCAUUUAGAUUUACUUGUAUUUAAGAGCAGUUGGAGACCACGGAAGGAGAGUUGUAUGGCAUUGAAACUCGUCUGGAGGGUUGUUAACACAGUGUCCAAAGAAGGGCCAAAAGUAUACAGAAUGGUGUCGUCUGCGUAGAGGUGGAUCAGAGACUCACCAGCAGCAAGAGCGACAUCAUUGAUGUAUACAGAGAAAAGAGUCGGCCCAAGAAUUGAACCCUGUGGCACCCCCAUAGAGACUGCCAGAGGCCCGGACAACAGGCCCUCCGAUUUGACACACUGAUUUCUAUCAGAGAAGUAGUUGGUGAACCAGGCGAGGCAAUCAUUUGAGAAACCAAGGCUGUUGAGUCUGCCGAUGAGGAUGUGGUGAUUGACGGAGUCGAAAGCCUUGGCCAGGUCAAUGAAUACGGCUGCACAGUAUUGUUUCUUAUCGAUGGCAGUUACGAUAUCGUUUAGGACCUUGAGCGUGGCUGAGGUGCACCCAUGACCAGCUCUAAAACCAGAUUGCAUAGUGGAGAAGGUACGGUGGGAUUCUAAAUGGUCGGUAAUCUGUUUGUUAACUUGGCUUUCGAAGACCUUAGAAAGGCAGGGUAGGAUAGAUAUAGGUCUGUAGCAGUUUGGGUCAAGAGUGUCCCCCCUUUAAAGAGGGGGAUGACCGCAGCUGCUUUACAAUCUUUGGGAAUCUCAGACGACACAAAAGAGAGGUUGAACAGGCUAGCAAUAGGGGUUGCAACAAUUUCGGCUUAUCAUUUUAGAAAGAAAGGGUCCAGAUUGUCUAGCCCGGCUGAUUUGUAGGGGUCCAGAUUUUGCAGCUCUUUCAGAACAUCAGCUGACUGGAUUUGGGAGAAGGAGAAAUAGGGAAGGCUUGGGCAAGUAGCUGUGGGGGGUGCAGUGCUGUUGACUGCGGUAGGGGUAGCCAGGUGGAAAGCAUGGCCAGCCGUAGAAAAAUGCUUAUUGAAAUUCACAAUUAUAGUGGAUUUAUCGGUGGUGAUAGAGUUUCCUAUCCUCAGUGCAAUGGGAAGCUGGGAGGAGGUGCUCUUAUUCUCCAUGGACUUUACAGUGUCCCAGAACUUUUUUGAGUUUGUGUUUCAGGAAGCAAAUUUCUGCUUGAAAAAGCUAGCCUUGGCUUUUCUAACUGCCUGUGUAUAUUGGUUUCUAACUUCCCUGAAAAGUGGCAUAUCACGGGGGCUGUUCGAUGCUAAUGCAGAACACCACAGGAUGUUUUUGUGUUGGUUAAGGGCAGUCAGGUCUGGAGAGAACCAAGGGCUAUAUCUGUUCCUGGUUCUACAUUUCUUGAAUGGGGCAUGCUUAUUUAAGAUGGUGAGGAAGGCAUUUAAAAAAAAUAACCAGGCAUCCUCUCCUGACGGGAUGAGGUCAAUAUCCUUCCAGGAUACCUGGGCCAGGUCGAUUAGAAAGGCUUGCUCGCUGAAGUGUUUCAGGGAGCGUUUGACAGGGAUGAGUGGAGGUUGUUUGACCGCUGACCCAUGACGGAUGCAGGCAAUGAGGCAGUGAUCGCUGAGCUCUUGGUUGAAAACAGCAGAGGUGUAUUUAGAGGGCAAAUUGGUUAGGAUGAUACCUAUGAGGGUGCCCGUGUUUACGUUUUUGAGGUUGUACCUGGUAGGUUCAUUGAUAAUUUGUGUGAGAUUGAGGGCAUCAAGCUUAGAUUGAAGGAUGGCUGGGGUGUUAAGCAUGUCCCAGUUUAGGUCACCUAGCAGCACGAGUUCUGAAGAAAGAUGGGGGGCAAUCAGUUCACAUAUGGUGUCCAGAGCACAGCUGUGGGCAGAGGGUGGUCUAUAGCAGGCGGCAACGGUGAGAGACUUGUUUUUAGAGAGGUGGAUUUUUAAAAGUACAAGUUCAAAUUGUUUGGGUACAGACCUGGAUAGUAGGACAUUACUCUGCAGGCUAUCUCUGCAGUAGAUUGUGACAUCGCCCCCUCAUACUAUCUAGAUAGGAUAUUGUUUAUUAAGCUGUUUCACAAAGUUUAGUUUUUGUUUAUCACCUGACACACGGCAAACAAGAUGAUAUUUCAUUGUUGUUAAAAAGGAGAACAGUAAACCCUAUUGUAAGGUGUGUUGUAUGUCAUUGUAAGGUGUGUUGUAUGAACCAUGACAAUAUCAAAUUGUACCACCCUAAACCACGUAUUGUUCUGAUGUACAUAAUGUGAGUUGUGAUUCCUUGCUGGAUUUCAGGGAAGAAAAUAAUUUAAUCAGCAAGAAUAAUCAUAACAAUUCAAUGCCUUGCAUUGAACUGGAUUAUAGCACCCUCAUGUGGUAAACAAAGGUACUGAUUCAUGAAGAAAAAUGGACUCGUCUUUAUUUGAGUAAAUGACCGAGGGAUCUUUGUUUCAAUCAAUGAAUACAUCAAGACAAUAAAGACAAUGAUAUUAGAUGGAGAAACAAAAUUAUUGUAAAGUCACUUGACAGGGUAUUGGGUCUACCUAUGCCUGUUUGUACUUCAUUGACAAAGUCUAUCAACUUCACAGUCCCUAAAACUUGAUAAUGGGACCAUUGCACACUAUCCGGGAAAUGUUGUCAACAUUUCACAUCCCAUGAUGUAUUUGAAACAUUGUUAAUAGCAAUAAUUAAAACAAUUGAAAUAAUUGCAAUCAAAUCAAAUGAUCAAUUAAAUCAAAUGGCCCAGGAGGACAUCUCUUUGUGGUGGCUGCCACAAUUUAGCCUGGAGCAAAAUGGCCUUUGUUUGCCUUCAGCCUGGCUAUUCCCUCCUCCUCUUCCUCCUCCUCCUCUUCGUCAUCCUCCUCCUCACUGGUUCAUUUGGCACAGUGUCUUCUUCACAGUAGUCUCCUCCAGUUGGACCUAUCUCCUUCUUGGCAUAGAUCAGUCUGAGGCCCCCGCCCAUGUCUAUUUUAACACAUUCAUGGCUACUGAACGAAGAGCUGUUUAGAACCGUCUCUUUUAGGUGAACGAAGCAGAAUAAAAAGGCUAACUGAAAAUACUUGAAAUGCCCUUUACAUGUAAAGGUCUUUGUAUCACCACGUGUGCUUCAUUUACAUCCAACAUCUCAUCAUUUCAUAAAUACCAGCAUACGUCUGGGUAAAUUCCACUUGAAUGCCCCUCUAACUGGUAAUUACUAGUGGGGAAACUCAUCUAUAAUCCCUGUACUCCGAGUUUCCCAUUUGCACCUCUCUGAUGUAAUUUGUCAACAAAAAAGAAAACAAGCAUGGUGAGCCCUAGGAAUAAGUGAAAUAAACCCAACUGAGUUUUUUUAUUUGAGAGUUAGAAUAGUAGAACACACCAGGUGUAAAUUUUGUUGUUACUACAUUUGCACACACUGUACAUAGAUUUUUCAAUUGUGUUAUUGACAGUAUGUUUGUUUAUCCCAUGUGUAACUCUGUGUUGUUGUUUUU